rnacentral:tRNA from 1 species
GGGGGUAUAGCUCAGCUGGGAGAGCGCUUGAAUGGCAUUCAAGAGGUCAGCGGUUCGAGCCCGCUUACCUCCACCA